GAAAUGCGAUAAGUAAUGUGAAUUGCAGAAUUCAGUGAAUCAUCGAAUCUUUGAACGCACAUUGCGCCCGCCAGUAUUCUGGCGGGCAUGCCUGUCCGAGCGUCAUUUCAACCAUCAAGCCCCCGGGCUUGUGUUGGGGACCUGCGGCUGCCCGCAGGCCCUGAAAACCAGUGGCGGGCUCGCUGUCACACCGAGCGUAGUAGCAAUCACCUCGCUCAGGGCGUGCUGCGGGUUCCGGCCGUUAAACAGCCUUACAAAACCCAAGGUUGACCUCGGAUCAGGUAGGAAGACCCGCUGAAUUUAAGC
rnacentral:misc_RNA from 1 species